rnacentral:rRNA from 1 species
UACGUAGGGAGCUAGCGUUGUCCGGAAUCACUGGGCUUAAAGGGUGCGUAGGCGGCGCUGCAAGUGCCUUGUGAAAUCCCAUCGCUUAACGAUGGAACUGCUCGGUAGACUGCAGUGCUUGAGGUUGGUAGGGGCUGCCGGAACUCUAGGUGGAGCGGUGAAAUGCGUAGAUAUCUAGAGGAACGCCCAAGGCGAAGGCAGGCAGCUGGGCCAAUUCUGACGCUGAGGCACGAAAGCGUGGGGAGCGAACGGGG